AACGAACGCUGGCGGCAUGCCUAACACAUGCAAGUCGAACGAUACCUUCGGGUCUAGUGGCGCACGGGUGCGUAACGCGUUGGAACCUGCCCUUAGGUUCGGAAUAACUCCCCGAAAGGGGUGCUAAUACCGGAUAAUGUCUUCGGACCAAAGAUUUAUCGCCUUUGGAUGGGCCCGCGUUGGAUUAGCUAGUUGGUAGGGUAAAAGCCUACCAAGGCGACGAUCCAUAGCUGGUCUGAGAGGAUGAUCAGCCACACUGGGACUGAGACACGGCCCAGACUCCUACGGGAGGCAGCAGUGGGGAAUAUUGGACAAUGGGCGAAAGCCUGAUCCAGCAAUGCCGCGUGAGUGAUGAAGGCCUUAGGGUUGUAAAGCUCUUUUACCCGGGAUGAUAAUGACAGUACCGGGAGAAUAAGCUCCGGCUAACUCCGUG
rnacentral:rRNA from 1 species